rnacentral:rRNA from 1 species
GACGAACGCUGGCGGCGUGCUUAACACAUGCAAGUCGAACGGAAAGUCCGUGCUUUUGUGCGGUGCUCGAGUGGCGAACGGGUGAGUAACACGUAAGUACCCUGUCCUUGACUUUGGGAUAACUUCAUGCAACUUGUGCUAAUACCGGAUAGGAGCUCCCGCUGUAUGGUGGGCGUUGGAAAGUUUCGGUGGUUGGGGAUGGAGUGGCCUCUUAUCGGCUUGUUGGUGGGGUAGUGGCUUACCAAGGCUUUGACAGGUAGCCGGGCUGGGAGGGUAACCGGAUCCGUCGGAAUGGGGAUGAGACACAGACCACACUGGUACGCAAGGGUGCAGAGUAGUGCACUACGGGAUGAGGGCUGGCGUGACAAAGCCACGCGGGGUAUGACGGGAAUGGGGUUGGAAUCCGAUUUUGUUUGAGACGAAGCGUGAGUGACGGUACUGGGUAAAGAAGCACCGGCUAACUACGUG